rnacentral:rRNA from 1 species
CCCUUAGAUGUUCUGGGCUGCACGCGCGCUACACUGAUGCGAUCAACGAGUUUCACCUUUCUCGGUAGAGAUGGGCAACCUUUUGAACUCGCAUCGUGAUGGGGAUAGAUUAUUGUAAUUAUUAAUCUUCAACGAGGAAUUCCUAGUAGGUGCAAAUCAUCAGUUUGCAUCGAUUACGUCCCUGCCCUUUGUACACACCGCCCGUCGCUGCUACCGAUUGAAUGGUCCGGUGAAGCGUUCGGACCGUGGCCUUUGGACGGUUCGCCGUCUGUUGGCUGCGGGAAGUUCGUUAAACCUUAUCAUUUAGAGGAAGGAGAANUCGUANCA